rnacentral:rRNA from 1 species
AGUGGGGAAUCUUGGACAAUGGGGGCAACCCUGAUCCAGCCAUGCCGCGUGAGCGAUGAAGGCCUUAGGGUUGUAAAGCUCUUUCAGCGGGGAAGAUAAUGACGGUACCCGCAGAAGAAGCCCCGGCUAACUCCGUGCCAGCAGCCGCGGUAAUACGGAGGGGGCUAGCGUUGUUCGGAAUUACUGGGCGUAAAGCGCACGUAGGCGGAUCAGUUAGUCGGGGGUGAAAUCCCGGGGCUCAACCCCGGAACUGCCUUCGAUACUGCUGGUCUGGAGGUCGAGAGAGGUGAGUGGAAUUCCGAGUGUAGAGGUGAAAUUCGUAGAUAUUCGGAGGAACACCAGUGGCGAAGGCGGCUCACUGGCUCGAUACUGACGCUGAGGUGCGAAAGCGUGGGGAGCAAA